rnacentral:rRNA from 1 species
AGUCGAGCGGAGACAGUGAGUAGCUUGCUAUGAGCUGUUUUAGCGGCGGACGGGUGAGUAACGCGUGAGCAACCUUUCCCAGACAGGGGAAUAACACACCGAAAGGUGUACUAAUACCGCAUAAGACCACGGGAUCACAUGGUUCUGGGGUAAAAGAUUUAUCGGUUUGGGGUGGGCUCGCGUCCGAUUAGGUAGUUGGUGAGGUAACGGCCCACCAAGCCGACGAUCGGUAGCCGACCUGAGAGGGUGAUCGGCCACAUUGGGACUGAGACACGGCCCAAACUCCUACGGGAGGCAGCAGUGGGGAAUAUUGGGCAAUGGGGGGAACCCUGACCCAGCAACGCCGCGUGGAGGAAGAAGGUUUUCGGAUCGUAAACUCCUGUCCUUGGAGGCGAGUAGAAGACGGUAUCCAAGGAGGAAGCCCCGGCUAACUACGUGCCAGCAGCCGCGGUAAUACGUAGGGGGCAAGCGUUGUCCGGAAUAAUUGGGCGUAAAGGGCGCGUAGGCGGCUCGGUAAGUCUGGAGUGAAAGUCCUGCUUUUAAGGUGGGAAUUGCUUUGGAUACUGUCGGGCUUGAGUGCAGGAGAGGUUAGUGGAAUUCCCAGUGUAGCGGUGAAAUGCGUAGAGAUUGGGAGGAACACCAGUGGCGAAGGCGACUAACUGGACUGUAACUGACGCUGAGGCGCGAAAGUGUGGGGAGCAAACAGGAUUAGAUACCCUGGUAGUCCACACUGUAAACGAUGAAUGCUAGGUGUAGGGGGUAUCGACCCCUUCUGUGCCGCAGUCAACACAAUAAGCAUUCCGCCUGGGGAGUACGGCCGCAAGGUUGAAACUCAAAGGAAUUGACGGGGGCCCGCACAAGCAGCGGAGCAUGUGGUUUAAUUCGACGCAACGCGAA